UACGGAGGGUGCAAACGUUGUCCGGAAUCACUGGGCGUAAAGCGUAUGUAGGCGGCUUAGUAAGUCAGUUAUCAAAGACCGAUGCUUAACAUCGGGCCGGUAUCUGAUACUGCUAGGCUUGAGGAUAGCAGGGGUACAUGGAACUUUCGGUGUAGGAGUGAAAUCCGUAGAUAUCGAAAGGAACACCAAUGGCGAAGGCAAUGUACUGGGCUAUAUCUGACGCUGAGAUACGAAAGCGUGGGGAGCGAACGGG
rnacentral:rRNA from 1 species